rnacentral:piRNA from 1 species
UAUUAUGCCCUUUUCCGUUUU